AAUAAUCACCCCUAAAUCCCUUUCCUCAUAUGUUGAGGUUAGGACUCUAUCAAAUAUUCUGUACUUUGCCCUUGGGUUUUUACAUCCAAGAUGCAUUAUCUUGCACUUAUCCACAUUAAAUGUCAGUUGCCACAAUUCUGACCAUUUUUCUAGUUUACCUAAAUCAUUUGCCAUUUGGCUUAUCCCUCCUGGAACAUCAACCCUGUUACAUAUCUUAGU
rnacentral:lncRNA from 1 species